GCGCUCAAUUCAGCCACACAUAUAUUAAAAUUGGAACACUACAGAGAAGAUUAACAUGGCCCCUGUGCAAGGAUGACACAUGGGUUCAUGAAAUGUUCCAUAUUUGA